UGAAGGAACUCACUCAUGCGGAGGGAAUCAAGGGCACGCAGGAUGCAGUUCCCGUGCACCAUCUGACUUCUGGAAGGGCAAAACUGUACUGACCCACUUCCCUCAGGAAAACAACUGUGAACUCAGGACCACUGAAUUGCUUCUCUGGACUAUGCAAAAGAUGAAAAGGAAACUUACAGGCAAUGCAAACUACCCAACAGUCUAGAUACGAGAAGGUCAACAAAUCAAAGAGCGUUGAAAGCAGUUGCUCAAG
rnacentral:lncRNA from 1 species